UACGUAGGGGGCUAGCGUUGUCCGGAAUCAUUGGGCGUAAAGAGCGCGUAGGCGGCUGGAAUAGUCCGGUGUGAAAUCCACAGGCUUAACCUGUGAAUGCCGCUGGAAACUGUCUGGCUAGAGUCCGGAAGGGGCGAGUGGAAUUCCUGGUGUAGCGGUGAAAUGCGCAGAUAUCAGGAGGAACACCAGUGGCGAAGGCGGUGCUCUGGGCCGGAACUGACGCUGAGGAGCGAAAGCGUGGGGAGCAAACAGG
rnacentral:rRNA from 1 species